rnacentral:rRNA from 1 species
GAUGAACGCUGGCGGCGUGCCUAAUACAUGCAAGUCGAGCGAACAGACGAGGAGCUUGCUCCUCUGACGUUAGCGGCGGACGGGUGAGUCACACGUGGAUAACCUACCUAUAAGACUGGGAUAACUUCGGGACACCGGAGCUAAUACCGGAUAAUAUAUUGAACCGCAUGGUUCAAUAGUGAAAGACGGUUUUGCUGUCACUACUCGAUGGAUCCGCGCCGCAUUAGCUAGUUGGUAAGGUAACGGCUUACCAAGGCGACGAGGCGUAGCCGACCUGAGAGAGUGAUCGGCCACACUGGAAGUGGAACGGGGUCCAGGCUCCUAAGGGAGGCAGCAGUAGGGAAUCUUCCGCAGUGGUCGAAAGCCUGACGGAGCAACGCCGCGUGAGUGAUGAAGGUCUUCGGAUCGUAAAACUCUGUUAUUAGGGAAGAACAAAUGUGUAAGUAACUAUGCACGUCUUGACGGUACCUAAUCAGAAAGCCACGGCUAACUACGUG